AUUGAACGCUGGCGGCAUGCUUUACACAUGCAAGUCGAACGGUAACAGGUCUUUCGGGAUGCUGACGAGUGGCGAACGGGUGAGUAAUGUAUCGGAACGUGCCCAGUAGUGGGGGAUAACUACUCGAAAGAGUGGCUAAUACCGCAUGAGAUCUCUGGAUGAAAGCGGGGGGACCGUAAGGCCUCGCGCUACUGGAGCGGCCGAUAUCAGAUUAGGUUGUUGGUGAGGUAAAGGCUCACCAAGCCGACGAUCUGUAGCUGGUCUGAGAGGACGACCAGCCACACUGGGACUGAGACACGGCCCAGACUCCUACGGGAGGCAGCAGUGGGGAAUUUUGGACAAUGGGCGCAAGCCUGAUCCAGCAAUGCCGCGUGCAGGACGAAGGCC
rnacentral:rRNA from 1 species